rnacentral:lncRNA from 1 species
UAAAAAUACGGGUGGAUUGAAUGAUCCACCCGUGAGAUUUUAUAUAGAAGAAUCUGUGGAUUGUUUACAAUUCGCACAGCUGCUGGUUCAUCACUCAAACAAGUUCUAACUCUCAGAUUUUUCUCUCAAGUAAUUUGAACAAGUUCAACUGAUGCUACUAACUCGGUUAUAUACUCCAAGUUUUACAAAGCAUUUAGCUAGAUUACAAAAUGCACUCUAAUCUAAAAACAAUGCUGCACAACUUUGUCUUAUGCAUGCUUUCUGAGAUGUCUUCAUCUUUGACCAUCACCUUGAUUUGAUCCAGAUUGCACUGCAUGAGAUAAGUAUGUUUCUGCUUCUUCUUUAUUUUCCUAAUUAGGCUUCCAUGUCUAUUUUAGUGUAAUUCGAUCCAUGUGAUUUGUCAGACUUAAGCUCUAGUCACUUUCAACUGCUCUUUGCUUCAUCAGUUGAAAGUUCUGGUUGCUUUCAACUGCUCUUGACUUUAUCAGUUGAAUG